rnacentral:rRNA from 1 species
UUAACAAAAACAUGUCUUUUUGUUAGAAUAGAAAGUCGGGCCUGCCCAGUGAUUUAUUUUAACGGCCGCAGUAUAUUGACUGUGCAAAGGUAGCAUAAUCAUUAGUUUCUUAAUUAGAAGCUGGAAUGAAAGGUUUGAUGAGAAAAUUACUGUCUCAAAUUUAAUUUUUUUGAAUUUUAUUUUUGAGUAAAAAAGCUCAAAUUUUUUAAAAAGACGAGAAGACCCUAUAGAGUUUAAUAUUUUAAGUAAAAAUUUUAUUAGAAUAAAGAUGGGUUUUUAUGUAAGAAGUAUUUGGUUGGGGUGAUUGAAAAAUUUAUAAAACUUUUUUUGUUUAUGAAUAUUUAUUUAUAGAUACUUGAUCCUUUUUUUAAGAUUAAAAGUUUAAAUUACCUUAGGGAUAACAGCGUUAUUUUUUCUGAGAGUUCAAAUUGAAGAAAGAGUUUGCGACCNCGAUGUUGGAUUAAA